UAGGUUGAACUACGCAGGAAAAGCCAUAGAGAUAUGGUGUCCGAAAGGGUCUGCGAUAGGUGGUGCAUGGCUGUCGUCAGCUCGUGUCGUGAGAUGUUGGGUUAAGUCCCGCAACGAGCGCAACCCUUAUUCUAUGUUGCCAGCGGGUAAUGCCGGGGACUCGUAGAAGACUGCCGGGGUCAACUCGGAGGAAGGUGGGGAUGACGUCAGUGCUUGCCU
rnacentral:misc_RNA from 1 species